rnacentral:lncRNA from 1 species
UCAACCUCUACAAAUAACUAAAAUUGGGAAUUCAAUGUUUAAAACAAAUCAUGUAUUAGUCUAAUCAUAGUCUUAACUUGUUAAGAUAUACGUCUUUCACUAACGGAUCAUAAGUGGUAAUAAUUUUUAAAAUGUUGUUUAAAUUGUAAAUUUAAUAUUCAUGAUUUGAAGAAGAUAUAAUUUAUUUUCCAUGAUAGUGACUAUUUACAUUUACCAAACUUUUGUUCAACCAUAUAGAAACUAUUGAUGGGACUUUAUUAAACCAGAGUUUGAGUUCUUCUUUUGAAACUAUAGGACAAAAUUUUAAUCUUGUUUACAUUAUAGUUAUCAAAUUUGUAAUUUAACGAGAAAAAACGAUUUAACUAAAAUUUAGGUUAAUAUGAAAUUGUGAAGUUUAAUUAUGCUUUUAUUUUCUGCAUCCUCUGUGACUGAGAAUCAUCCUCCUCGUUUGUUUUAAAGACUUAUUAGUGUGAAAUUUGUCCCCACAAAAAAGCCCGAGUACUCACAACAAAUUACAAAUUAAUUGUUUUUAAAGUGAGUUUAUUAAUAUUUAGUGAUUUACGUAAUUGGUCACAGGUGUAGAGCAGCAUGGGCCGAAACAAAUCACAGCCGAUAACAUUGGGCCCAUUAAGUAUUUGAUUCCAGAGCAGCAGCUUCUUUCUUAAACAUAUUUUUUUUCUUUUUAUUUCAUUUAUAUUUUGAUAAGAUUGAUCACAGAUCUUUUAUUUUGUUUCCUAUAGUUUUUUAAAUAAUGUUGAUCAAAGAUCUUGUUGCUAAAGUUUUAUUUCUGGAAAUGGAAAAAUGAUGAAAUACAUUACAGAAACCAA